GCGCACCAGUCGCGAAUAGUCUACAAUGGACGAAAGUCUGAUAGUGCGACGCCGUGUGUGCGAUUAAUUCCUUCGGGAUGUAAAGCACUUUUCUAUGAGAUAAAAGCUCUUUAGGUUAAUAGCUUAUUGAGACGGAUAUUAUUAUAGGAAUAAGCUCCGGCUAACUCCGUGCCAGCAGCCGCGGUAAUACGGAAGGAGCGAGCGUUGUCCGGAUUUACUAGGCGUAAAGGGCUAGUAGGCGACUAAUUAAGUUAUAUGUUAAAUCCCACGGCUCAACUGUGGUCCUGCAUGUAAUACUGGUUAGAUAGAGUACUGUAGAGGAAGGCAGAAUUCCUGGAGUAGCGGUGGAAUGCGCAGAUAUCAGGAAGAAUACCAAAAGCGAAGGCAGCCUUCUGGGCAGUUACUGACGCUGAAUAGCGAAGGUGUGGGUAGCGAACAGGAUUAGAUA
rnacentral:rRNA from 1 species